rnacentral:rRNA from 1 species
UACGGAGGGGACUAGCGUUGUUCGGAAUUACUGGGCGUAAAGCGCGCGUAGGCGGAUUUGCAAGUCGGGGGUGAAAGCCCGAGGCUCAACCUCGGAACUGCCCUCGAUACUGCAAAUCUCGAGUCCGAGAGAGGUGAGUGGAAUUCCUAGUGUAGAGGUGAAAUUCGUAGAUAUUAGGAAGAACACCAGUGGCGAAGGCGGCUUACUGGUCCGGUUCUGACGCUGAGGCGCGAAAGCGUGGGGAGCAAACAGG